ACAGGCAUAAUGCUGGCUCCUGUGGCACUACACAGCGUAUCCUGGUUGCUGCUCUCCAGCCUAAUGCUCCUAUCUCAGGUGCAAGGUGAAGAGUCCCAGGACAAACUGGCCUCACCACGAAUUAACUGCCCCAGAGGUUCCAGGGCCUAUGGCUCCUACUGCUAUGCCCUGUUUAGAACAGCUAAAUCCUGGACUGAUGCAAAUGUGAGUGCUUAGAGAUCCAGUGGGGACUCACGGGGUAAAGGACAUGUGGGUUACAAGGGAGGAGGUCUCUAAACUCCAGGUUUAUGGGAA
rnacentral:lncRNA from 1 species